UGGCGCACGGGUGAGUAACGCGUGGGUAAUCUACCCCCGAAUUGGGGAUAACAUCGCGAAAGCGAUGCUAAUACCGGAUAAUAUCUUAAAAACCUCGGUUUUAAAGAUCAAAGGUGGCCUCUACAUGUAAGCUUCUGUUUGGGGAUGAGCCCGCGUACCAUUAGCUUGUUGGUAGGGUAAUGGCCUACCAAGGCUGCGAUGGUUAGCUGGUCUGAGAGGAUGAUCAGCCACACUGGAACUGACACACGGUCCAGACUCCUACGGGAGGCAGCAGUGAGGAAUUUUGCGCAAUGGGGGAAACCCUGACGCAGCAACGCCGCGUGAGUGAUGAAGGCUUUCGGGUCGUAAAGCUCUGUCAAGUGGGAAGAACCCACAUGGUGAUAAUACCACUAUGUGUUGACGGUACCACUGAAGGAAGCACCGGCUAACUCCGUGCCAGCAGCCGCGGUAAUACGGGGGGUGCAAGCGUUAUUCGGAAUUACUGGGCGUAAAGAGCGCGUAGGCGGUCUUUUAAGUCAGGUGUGAAAGCCCGGGGCUCAACCCCGGAAGUGCACUUGAAACUAAGGGACUUGAGUAUGGGAGAGGGAAGUGGAAUUCCUGGUGUAGCGGUGAAAUGCGUAGAUAUCAGGAGGAACAUCGGUGGCGAAGGCGACUUCCUGGACCAAUACUGACGCUGAGGCGCGAAGGCGUGGGGAGCAAACAGGAUUAGAUACCCUGGUAGUCCACGCAGUAAACGGUGAUCACUAGGUGUAGC
rnacentral:rRNA from 1 species